CCCUUAUUAGUAUUAAUUACAUGUACAUUUGACUUCCAAUCAAAAAGCCUUAGUUAAAAUCUAAGAUAAGGUA
rnacentral:tRNA from 1 species